ACGGGGAGCACCACAACAGGUGGAGCCUGCGGUUUAAUCGGACUCAACGCCGGGAAACUCACCAGAUAAGACAGCUGAAUGAUAGUCGGGCUGAAGACUCUACUUGACUAGCUGAGAGGAGGUGCAUGGCCGUCGCCAGUUCGUACUGUGAAGCAUCCUGUUAAGUCAGGCAACGAGCGAGACCCACGCCAACAGUUGCCAGCUCGUCCUCCGGGAUGGUGGGGACACUGUUGGGACCGCCUCUGCUAAAGAGGAGGAAGGAAUGGGCAACGGUAGGUCAGCAUGCCCCGAAUUAUCUGGGCUACACGCGGGCUACAAUGGGUGGGACAAUGGGUAUCGACACCGAAAGGUGAAGGCAAUCUCCUAAACCCAUCCGUAGUUCGGAUUGUGGGCUGCAACUCGCCCACAUGAAGCUGGAAUCUGUAGUAAUCGUGUCUCAAAAUGGCACGGUGAAUAUGUCCCUGCUCCUU
rnacentral:rRNA from 1 species